GGAAAAAUAAAAAUAAAAAAAUUUCUUUAUUUAGGAUUUACAAAAUCCAAAUGUUA
rnacentral:tRNA from 1 species